rnacentral:rRNA from 1 species
CACGUAGUUAGCCGGUGCUUAUUCUUACGGUACCGUCAUUAGCCCUCUUUAUUAGAAAAGGCCGUUUCGUUCCGUACAAAAGCAGUUUACAACCCGAAGGCCUUCAUCCUGCACGCGGCAUGGCUGGAUCAGGCUUGCGCCCAUUGUCCAAAAUUCCCCA